AAUUCCAAUCGAACUUGGAGAUAGCUGGUUCUCUCCGAAAUAGCUUUAGGGCUAGCCUCGAGGUAAAGAGUCAUGGAGGUAGAGCACUGUUUGGACUAGGGGCCCUUCUCGGGUUACCGAAUUCAGAUAAACUCCGAAUGCCAUGUACUUAUACUCGGGAGUCAGACUGCGAGUGAUAAGAUCCGUAGUCGAAAGGGAAACAGCCCAGACCACCAGUUAAGGUCCCCAAAUAUAUGUUAAGUGGAAAAGGAUGUGGGGUUGCUUAGACAACCAGGAUGUUGGCUUAGAAGCAGCCACCAUUGAAAGAGUGCGUAAUAGCUCACUGGUCGAGUGACCCCGCGCCGAAAAUGUACCGGGGCUAAACAUAUUACCGAAACUGUGGAUGAACCUCUUUAGAGGUUCGUGGUAGGAGAGCGUUCUAAGGGCGGUGAAGUCAGACCGGAAGGACUGGUGGAGCGCUUAGAAGUGAGAAUGCCGGUAUGAGUAGCGAAAGAAGGGUGAGAAUCCCUUCCACCGAAUAUCUAAGGUUUCCUGAGGAAGGCUCGUCCGCUCAGGGUUAGUCGGGACCUAAGCCGAGGCCGAUAGGCGUAGGCGAUGGACAACAGGUAGAGAUUCCUGUACCAGUGCUAAUUGUUUAACCGAUGGGGUGACACAGAAGGAUAGGGAAUCGCACGAAUGGAAAUGUGCGUCCAAGCAGUGAGUGUGAG
rnacentral:rRNA from 1 species